UUUUUUUUUUUUUCCCCCCCUUUUUUUUUAAACAUCGCCUCCUGCAACAUAACCAAGUAUAGGAGGUCCAGCCUGCCCAGUGACCACAAGUUCAACGGCCGCGGUAUUUUGACCGUGCAAAGGUAGCGCAAUCACUUGUCUUUUAAAUAGAGACCUGUAUGAAUGGCUAAACGAGGGCUUAACUGUCUCCCCUUUCAAGUCAGUGAAAUUGAUCUGCCCGUGCAGAAGCGGGUAUAAUAAUACAAGACGAGAAGACCCUUUGGAGCUUAAGGUACAAAACUCAACCACGUCAAGCAACUUAAUAAAAAGCAAAAACCUUGUGGAAUAUGAUAUUUUACCUUCGGUUGGGGCGACCACGGAGGAAAGAAAAGCCUCCAAGUGGACUGGGAAAACUUCCUAAAGCUAAGAGAGACAUCUCUAAGCCACAGAACAUCUGACCAAAUAUGAUCCGGCAACAAAGCCGAUCAACGAACCAAGUUACCCUAGGGAUAACAGCGCAAUCCUCUCCCAGAGUCCAUAUCGACGAGGGGGUUUACGACCUCGAUGUUGGAUCAGGACAUCCUAAUGGUGCAGCCGCUAUUAAGGGUUCGUUUGUUCAACGAUUAAAGUCCUACGUGAUCUAGUUUCAAAAACCGGGAAA
rnacentral:rRNA from 1 species